rnacentral:rRNA from 1 species
AGAGUUUGAUCAUGGCUCAGGAUUAACGUUGGUAGUAUGCAUAACACAUGCAAGUCGAGCGGAAAAAGGUAGUAAUAUCUUUUUUAGCGGCGAACGGGUGAGUAAUGCUUAUCUAACUUACCAAUUAGUGGGGGAUAACAAUGGGAAACCAUUGCUAAUACCGCAUUUGUUUAUUUUUCUUAUGAAUCAUAAAUUAAAGGAAUUCUUUUGGGAUUUCGCUAAUUGAUAGGGAUAAGUCGUAUUAGCUAGUUGGUGGGGUAAAGGCCUACCAAGGCAAUGAUGCGUAGCCAGUCUGAGAGGAUGAAUGGCCACAAGGGAACUGAGACACGGUCCCUACUCCUACGGGAGGCAGCAGUGAGGAAUUUUCCGCAAUGGGGGAAACCCUGACGGAGCAAUACUACGUGAAGGAAGAAGGUCUAAGGAUUGUAAACUUCUGUUAGCGCGGAAUAAGAAUCAAUUUGUUUUGAUUUUGACUGUACGCGCAGAGAAAGCCACGACUAACUAUGUGCCAGCAGUCGCGGUAAGACAUAGGUGGCGAACGUUAUCCGGAAUUAUUGGGCGUAAAGGGUGCGUAGAUUGUGCAGAAAGUUACUGGUGGUAAAUCGGGGCCCAACCCCGUGGAAGCUUGUAAUACUACUUGCACUAGAGUGCAGAAGAGGUUGACGGAACUCCAUGUGGAGCGGUAAAAUGCAUAGAUAUAUGGAAGAACAUCAAUAAAGGCGAAGGCAGUCGACUAUUCUGUUGCUGACGUUGAGGCACGAAAGCGUGGGGAGCAAAAAGGAUUAGAUACCCUAGUAGUCC